rnacentral:rRNA from 1 species
GACGAACGCUGGCGGCGUGCCUAAUACAUGCAAGUUGAGCGCUGAAGGUUGGUACUUGUACCGACUGGAUGAGCAGCGAACGGGUGAGUAACGCGUGGGGAAUCUGCCUUUGGGCGGGGGACAACAUUUGGAAACGAAUGCUAAUACCGCAUAAAAACUUUAAACACAAGUUUUAAGUUUGAAAGAUGCAAUUGCAUCACUCAAAGAUGAUCCCGCGUUGUAUUAGCUAGUUGGUGAGGUAAAGGCUCACCAAGGCGAUGAUACAUAGCCGACCUGAGAGGGUGAUCGGCCAUAUUGGGACUGAGACACGGCCCAAACUCCUACGGGAGGCAGCAGUAGGGAAUCUUCGGCAAUGGACGAAAGUCUGACCGAGCAACGCCGCGUGAGUGAAGAAGGUUUUCGGAUCGUAAAACUCUGUUGGUAGAGAAGAACGUUGGUGAGAGUGGAAAGCUCAUCAAGUGACGGUAACUACCCAGAAAGGGACGGCUAACUACGUG